UACGAAGGGGGCUAGCGUUGUUCGGAAUGACUGGGCGUAAAGGGCGCGCAGGCGGACUGCACAGUCAGGCGUGAAAGUCCUGGGCUUAACCUGGGGACUGCGUCUGAGACGUGUGAUCUAGAGUGAGGAAGAGGGUCGUGGAAUUUCCAGUGUAGAGGUGAAAUUCGUAGAUAUUGGAAAGAACACCGGUGGCGAAGGCGGCGACCUGGUCCUUGACUGACGCUGAGGCGCGAAAGCGUGGGGAGCAAACAGG
rnacentral:rRNA from 1 species